GGAUGCUAACGGAAAAGGGGCAGCUGAUGAGAGUGGUCCCUCAAGAGAAUUUAUCCGGCUGCUAAUGAGUGCCAUCCAUUCCUCUGCAAUAUUUUGAGGGACCUGAUUGACAAAAAUGCCUUUCUUGCAACUCUCAAGCAACAUGGGGGUGUAGAGCCACAUUUUUUCAGAGAGGCUAUACAGGCAUGUGUGUGGCCUACAACCUGUGCCAGAACUGAAAGAAAUUGCAGAAUAUGACUUUAGAGAGAAGUUGGAGAAGUUCAAUAAACAAUCUAAGAUCCAGUAGCACAAACUGUUGACGAGGCACAGGAAGUGGUCAUGUUGGGUCCAGUGCGAUACAUUCGUACAUUGGAGAGGGAUGCCCUGGUGGAGUCAGCCACAAAGUUCUACUUAGAAAGCAGGAUACGGGAUGCUCUUGAGUAAUUCAAAGAGGGUCUGGAGUGUCUAGGUCUCCUGUCUUACAUGAAUAGACACUCAAGCCUCAGAGAGGUUUUCAUCUACGCUGAGAAACCUCUUUUGGCCAAAGACAUAGCUUCUCUCUCCAAAGCAGAGCGCUCCCCACCUGGUACCAAUCAAAGAGCAAUAGAGAGAGGAGUCAUAUGUUUCCGGAGGGACUGACUUCUGGAGGUGGAAGGGGGGAACACAUAACCUCCGUGGUUAAAGGGUUUCAUUUUCACUUUCGGGGCUUCAGCAUUCCUAGGCUGGGAUUGCCAGUGGAGCCACAGCUACAGUUCUCUGCAACCGCACGGCAAGCUGUACCGGAGCACCAAGUCUAGGUCCAAGAGGCUUCUAAACAGAUUCUACCAGAUUCUA